UGGGGAAUAUUGGACAAUGGGGGCAACCCUGAUCCAGCCAUGCCGCGUGAGUGAUGAAGGCCUUCGGGUUGUAAAGCUCUUUUGGCGGGGACGAUGAUGACGGUACCCGCAGAAUAAGCCCCGGCUAACUUCGUGCCAGCAGCCGCGGUAAGACGGAGGGGGCUAGCGUUGUUCGGAAUUACUGGGCGUAAAGCGAGUGUAGGCGGUUGCCGUAGUCAGGUGUGAAAGCCUUGAGCUCAACUCAAGAAAUGCACUUGAUACUGGGUGACUAGAGGACCGGAGAGGAUAGUGGAAUUCCCAGUGUAGUGGUGAAAUACGUAGAGAUUGGGAAGAACACCAGUGGCGAAGGCGGCUAUCUGGACGGUUACUGACGCUAAGACUCGAAAGCGUGGGGAGCAAACAGGAUUAGAUACCCUGGUAGUCCACGCCGUAAACGAUGGGUGCUAGACGUUGGCGAGCUUGCUCGUCAGUGUCGCAGCUAACGCGUUAAGCACCCCGCCUGGGGAGUACGGCCGCAAGGUUGAAAACUCAAAAGGAAUUGACGGGGUCAUAGCUGUUUCCU
rnacentral:rRNA from 1 species